CAGAAUUCUCUCAAGCUCGUAGACUGCUUGUAGGGCCCCGACUUCCAGAACCCUCAGCUGGCAGAGUAAGAGGUGAAUCACGGCCCGGGGACAAGUCAGCAUGUGGCAGUUUAAACAAGAGCCCCGAAGCAGCAGAAUGCUUUCAUUGGAGUGCCUGGGGCUUAACCUCCUUAGACCACUCUUGUGGGAGACAGGCAGCACUCACAAAUCCCACCAGCAGCCCAGAGACCCACACAACCAAGGCAGCACUUACAUCGAAGAGGAGAGGGUUAUACACUGUGAGUGGGAGCUCAAUGUGGCCCAGGUGCCCAGAACAGUUGCUGAAGUCCUGCACGCAGGUGGAGCACACCUCUUUGGAAUCUGCAGGGCCCAAAGCUAAAUCGUACAGGCCGUUUGCUGAUGGGUUCCCCAGGCUGUCCAG